AGUCACUGACAUUAGAUACCCCUGUAGUCCCAGCCGUAAACAAUGUGCGUUAGGUGUGUCGGUAACCACGCGUUACUGAUGCGCCGAAGAGAAAUCGUGAAACGCACCACCUGGGAAGUACGGUCGCAAGGCUGAAACUUAAAGGAAUUGGCGGGGGAGCACCACAACAGGUGGAGCCUGCGGUUUAAUUGGAUUCAACGCCGGACGUCUCACCGGAUAAGACAGCUGAAUGAUUGUCAAUCUGAAGGUUUUACAUGACUAGCUG
rnacentral:rRNA from 1 species